rnacentral:sRNA from 1 species
UCACCUUGCUAUCAUCCUACUUACCUCGGC